rnacentral:lncRNA from 1 species
UAGAAACUUCUACAGAGUUACUUCUGUGGCCAGAUGCUUUCCAUGUAUUAUAUUAAUCAAUCCUCUCAAGAACCCUAAAAGAUGUAUAACAAACUCCCUGAGGCAAGACCAUGCUACUUCACCUUGAAUCUGAGACACUGAAUACUGAGC